CUCCCUGAAACACAAUGAAAAAUGGAAACGUCACUUUCAUUCAAAUUAAUGACGAUGAUCGAAAGUCGAAGCAACAAAGAAACGAAACUAAAAGAACUCAUUGUCUACUAGAUCUAGGUCUUCAUAUUUUUGCCGUUGUAAUAUCCCUGGCAGCACUGAUUAUCAUCCUAGUUUUAUCCUUUACAAAGCAGAAUUCUGGGAAUCAGCUGAUGGCAGCAGGAAACGUAAACAUGCCGUGUAUAAAAUGUCUCAAUAGUACCAUAAACCUACAAGAUGUUGAGCUAGUGGACAGCCAAAGACUUCGUUGCUGUCCUCUAACAAGUGCUGAACUUUAUCUUAAAUUA
rnacentral:sRNA from 1 species